GACGAACGCUGGCGGCGUGCUUAACACAUGCAAGUCGAACGGUAAGGCCCUUCGGGGUACACGAGUGGCGAACGGGUGAGUAACACGGGGGUGAUCUACCCUGCACUUCGGGAUAAGCCUGGGAAACUGGGUCUAAUACCGGAUAGGACCCUGGGAUGCAUGUCCUGGGGUGGAAAGCUUUUGCGGUGUGGGAUGGGCCCGCGGCCUAUCAGCUUGUUGGUGGGGUGAUGGCCUACCAAGGCGACGACGGGUAGCCGGCCUGGGAGGGUGACCGGCCACACUGGGACUGAGAUACGGCCCAGACUCCUACGGGAGGCAGCAGUGGGGAAUAUUGCACAAUGGGCGCAAGCCUGAUGCAGCGACGCCGCGUGAGGGAUGACGGCCUUCGGGUUGUAAACCUCUUUCAGCACCGACGAAGCGCAAGUGACGGUAGGUGCAGAAGAAGGACCGGCCAACUACGUGCCAGCCGCCGCGGUAA
rnacentral:rRNA from 1 species